UGGAAAUUGAGUGAUCAAUGGGGAUUUAUUGAGGGAAAUUUAUUGAAUUUUUAAAUAGAUUGUGACAGUUGCCUUCUCCAGAAGAGAAACCAUGGGAACCUUUUGAAGAAGAAUUGUGCUGUAAGGAAAGGAGGUCUGGGCAGAAGAAUCCAUGAAACCACGAUUGAUGAAUCACAUCAGGAUAUGAGGAUACCCGUUUGUAGACCUGAGUCAGUCCGUUAUUUUGCUGUGUGCUUAUCAUCCACAAAGUGCUAGUAUUCAGGAUGUCCCUACCUCUCUAUAACUACCGUGGCUCCAAGCAAGAACAGGAAGCAAGCGCAUGGAAGGAGGUAAGUCUUCUUUAGGUGCUCACUUUGUAAAUGUGAGGUCAGACACGAGAGAGGACGAGAUGGCAGU